AGUGCUGCGAUGUCAAAAUCAGUUUCCUUUAAUCAGAAAAGAAGAUAUACACCAUCGAUGGCUGAGAAUGGCUCUAGAAGCUCAACUAUUUCUCCUCCAGACAAACCAUCACCUUCAUGUUGCAGUCAUUGUAGUCUACAUGAACUUAAUGCCUUGAAGAAGAGGAAGCUGGAGCUUCAAAUACAAUUGUUUGAGGCCCAGUUGGCGCGAUUUCAUGAGGAAUAGAUUAUUUUGUUAUUUGUUAUUAUUUUGUUAU